rnacentral:lncRNA from 1 species
AGACAACUUCGCAAUUCAUUGUGGUUCAGCAAAUCUGAAGGUUUAAAAAAAACCUACAUACAUACGCAAAACAGUUACUGAUCUCUCGUCUACUGCAGCUGAUGCUUCAGUGUCACAAUACGAGCCUCACAUGACAUCAAUAUUUCCUCGUGUGUAAUUCAUAACUUCUGAAAGCAACAUCCAGUCGACAUCGUAGACUAAGAAGUUUUUUUCUCUAACAUACAAGAAUCAAGAUUUAUUUGUUUUAUCCACACUCUUCUACCA